UGAAUUUUUUGUGAUCAAUUUAUGCAGAAAGCAAAGGGCACGACAAAAUUGUCUCAAAAAUUAAUUAUUCAUUCAUGUUUGUCUCACACCUUGGGUCAGUGUGACAUGUGGUUCAAGAAGUCAUCGUGUUUUGCUUCUUCGAACAGAAACUUGACAUAUUCUGCCGGUUUCUGCGCUCGUAACUGUUUCUAAGAGUAUUUUUAAGACGACUGUUUCCUUUUCCCACGAUCAGCAGCCAAAUAUGGAAAUAUUAGUAUACUUUUGCAGAAUACCAGUAACUUUACACGAGGUGAGAGAAUGAAUCAUAUGCAGAACUUUGAUAGGUUAUUUGCUUAUGUCGUUGCGUUUAAUUCUUGUACUUCGACCUUUCUUAUAACUUCGUCUUAAAUGUCGACUCUAUCACAUCUUUUUAAAAGUUGCCAGAGAGAACUUCUUCAACAAAAUUUUAUCUCGUCUUUAAGUUGAAUUUGUCCUCUUUUUCAUAGUUAAGCGGUACCUUGAGACUCUGUGCUCUGGGUUUAUCGAGUUACCUUACUGAAUACUAAGUCGUGAGAAGGAAAUAAAAAUUAAGAUUGAAAAAGAAGAUUGGAAAGCUGGAAUGUGGAAUGCACGGGGUGAUGUAAAAGAACGAAACUUAACAACAGAACCACGGAAAUGGAAAAGUGUUCUUGGAAAAGAGGACUGCAAACUGGGAAAAAGAAACGACCUCACCU